UACGUAGGGUGCAAGCGUUUAUCGGAAUUACUGGGCGUAAAGCGUGCGCAGGCGGUUCUAUAAGACAGAUGUGAAAUCCCCGGGCUCAACCUGGGAACUGCAUUUGUGACUGUAGAGCUGGAGUGCGGCAGAGGGGGAUGGAAUUCCGCGUGUAGCAGUGAAAUGCGUAGAUAUGCGGAGGAACACCGAUGGCGAAGGCAAUCCCCUGGGCCUGCACUGACGCUCAUGCACGAAAGCGUGGGGAGCAAACAGG
rnacentral:rRNA from 1 species